rnacentral:tRNA from 1 species
AAGAAAAAAGAUUUAAUCUUAAGCUGCUAACUUAAAGAUUUAGCGGUUAAACUCCGUUAUUUUCUUU